CUCCUCGAAGAUUAUGGAUGGAUGAUGAUGGAAUUGAAGCUGAUGGAGAGGAGGAAGGAGAAGAUGAAAAGGAUGAUUUAGAGAUUGAGGUAGAGAAGAAGAGCUAUGAUGAUAAGGAAGUCAACUUAGUAGAACAAAAAUCCAUUGACAUAUCAGAACAGAAACUCAAAGAAAUAGAAGCAAAAAUAAAGAAGGUUCACCAAAUUCAUCGAAAGCCAAUACCCAUCUCAGGAAAUGUGAAUAAUAAGCUA